rnacentral:rRNA from 1 species
AGUGAACGCUGGCGGUAGGCCUAACACAUGCAAGUCGAACGGCAGCACAGUAAGAGCUUGCUCUUACGGGUGGCGAGUGGCGGACGGGUGAGGAAUACAUCGGAAUCUACUUUUUCGUGGAGGAUAACGUAGGGAAACUUACGCUAAUACCGCAUACGACCUACGGGUGAAAGCAUGGGAUCUUCUGACCUUGCGCGAUUGAAUGAGCCGAUGUGGGAUUAGCUAGUUGGCGGGGUAAAGGCCCACCAAGUCGACGAUCGGUAGCUGGUCUGGGAGGCUGGUCAGCCACACGGGAACGGAGACACGGUCCAGACUCCUACGGGAGGCAGCAGUGGGGAAUAUUGGACAAUGGGGGCAAGCCUGAUCCAGCCAUACCGCGUGGGUGAAGAAGGCCUUCGGGUCGUAAAGCCCUUUUGUUGGGAAAGAAAAGCAGCAGGUUAAUACCCCGCUGUUCUGACGGUACCCAAAGAAGAAGCACCGGCUAACUUCGUG